UAGGGAAUCUUCGGCAAUGGGGGGAACCCUGACCGAGCAACGCCGCGUGAGUGAAGAAGGUUUUCGGAUCGUAAAGCUCUGUUGUUAAGGAAGAACGAGUGUGAGAAUGGAAAGUUCAUGCUGUGACGGUACUUAACCAGAAAGGGACGGCUAACUACGUGCCAGCAUCCGCGGUAAUACGUAGGUCCCGAGCGUUGUCCGGAUUUAUUGGGCGUAAAGCGAGCGCAGGCGGUUAGAAAAGUCUGAAGUGAAAGGCAGUGGCUCAACCAGUGUGGACUUUGGAAGCUGGUUAACUUGAGUGCAGAAGGGGAGAGUGGAAGUCCAUGUGUAGCGGUGAGAGGCGUAGGUAUAUGGAGGAACACCGGUGGCGAAAGCGGCUCUCUGGUCUGUAACUGACGCUGAGGCUCGAAAGCGUGGGGAGCGAACAGG
rnacentral:rRNA from 1 species